UACGGAGGAUGCAAGCGUUAUCCGGAAUGAUUGGCGUAAAGCGUCCGCAGGUGGCUAUGUAAGUCUGCUGUUAAGAGUGAGGCUCAACCUCAUAAGAGCAGUGGAAACUACAUGGCUAGAGUGCGUUCGGGGCAGAGGGAAUUCCGUGGAUGUAGCGGUGAAAUGCGUAGAUAUCGGGAGGAACACCAGUGGCGAAGGCGGUGCGCUGGGCCGGAACUGACGCUGAGGAGCGAAAGCGUGGGUAGCAAACAGG
rnacentral:rRNA from 1 species